rnacentral:rRNA from 1 species
UACGAGGGGGGCGAGCGUUGUUCGGAAUUAUUGGGCGUAAAGGGCGCGUAGGCGGUCGGAUAAGUCUUGUGUGAAAUCUUCGGGCUCAACUCGAAGUCUGCACAGGAAACUAUCUGGCUUGAGUGUGGGAGAGGUGAGUGGAAUUCCUGGUGUAGCGGUGAAAUGCGUAGAUAUCAGGAGGAACACCUGUGGCGAAAGCGGCUCACUGGACCACAACUGACGCUGAGGCGCGAAAGCGUGGGGAGCAAAAGGG